AAGUCGGUGGCAGAAUAUAAUGUGUUAAAUUGUAAAUUUAAUUGUGGAAGAUUUUCCUCGGUUUU
rnacentral:tRNA from 1 species